rnacentral:rRNA from 1 species
AGAGUUUGAUCCUGGCUCAGAACGAACGCUGGCGGCAGGCUUAACACAUGCAAGUCGAGCGCCCGCAAGGGGAGCGGCAGACGGGUGAGUAACACGUGGGAAUCUACCCAUCCCUACGGAACAACUCCGGGAAACUGGAGCUAAUACCGUAUACGCCCUUCGGGGGAAAGAUUUAUCGGGGAUGGAUGAGCCCGCGUUGGAUUAGCUAGUUGGUGGGGUAAAGGCCUACCAAGGCGACGAUCCAUAGCUGGUCUGAGAGGAUGAUCAGCCACAUUGGGACUGAGACACGGCCCAAACUCCUACGGGAGGCAGCAGUGGGGAAUAUUGGACAAUGGGCGCAAGCCUGAUCCAGCCAUGCCGCGUGAAUGAUGAAGGCCUUAGGGUUGUAAAGUUCUUUCACCGAUGAAGAUAAUGACGGUAGUCGGAGAAGAAGCCCCGGCUAACUUCGUG